AGAGCCAUGGCUCACUGGGCAAAGCAUCUGCUUUGCAUGCAGAAGGUCCCAGGUUCAAUCCCUGGUAUCUUUA